CCCUUAGAUGUUCUGGGCCGCACGCGCGCUACACUGAUGCAUUCAACGAGUCUAAAACCUGCUCUGAUAGGGGUGGGUAAUCUUUUGAAUGUGCAUCGUGAUUGGGAUAGAUGAUUGCAAUUUUUCAUCUUCAACGAGGAAUGCCUAGUAAACGCAAGUCAUCAGCUUGCAUUGAUUACGUCCCUGCCCUUUGUACACACCGCCCGUCGCUCCUACCGAUUGAAUGAUCCGAUGAAUAUCAUGGAUUGAGGAUGCAAGCAGGUUCGCCUGUCUUCAUCUUCGAGAAGUGAAGUAAAUCUUAUCAUUGAGAGGAAGGAGAAGUCGUAACA
rnacentral:rRNA from 1 species